GGAGGGUGCGAGCGUUGUUCGGAAUUAUUGGGCGUAAAGCGCGUGUAGGCGGUUUUUUAAGUCUGAUGUGAAAGCCCUGGGCUCAACCCGGGAAGUGCAUUGGAAACUGGGAGACUUGAAUACGGGAGAGGGUAGUGGAAUUCCUGGUGUAGGAGUGAAAUCCGUAGAUAUCAGGAGGAACACCGGUGGCGAAGGCGGCUACCUGGACCGAUAUUGACGCUGAGACGCGAAAGCGUGGGGAGCAAACAGGAUUAGAUACCCUGGUAGUCCACGCCGUAAACGAUGAGUACUAGGUGUCGCGGGUAUUGACCCCUGCGGUGCCGCAGCUAACGCAUUAAGUACUCCGCCUGGGAAGUACGGCCGCAAGGCUA
rnacentral:rRNA from 1 species